rnacentral:tRNA from 1 species
GGGUGCAGACCCGCGGUGUUUACAUCCAAGCCGCGGAACCGAUUGCAUGAAUCGCUGACUCUUAGUCAGCGGGUCCAAGGUUCGAAUCCUUGUGCGCCCACCA